AUUGAACGCUGGCGGCAGGCCUAACACAUGCAAGUCGAACGAGUGGCGGACGGGUGAGUAAUGUAUGGGAAUCUGCCCGAUGGAGGGGGAUAACUACUGGAAACGGUAGCUAAUACCGCAUACCAUCGGAUGUGCCCAGAUGGGAUUAGCUAGUAGGUGGGGUAACGGCUCACCUAGGCGACGAUCCCUAGCUGGUCUGAGAGGAUGACCAGCCACACUGGGACUGAGACACGGUCCAGACUCCUACGGGAGGCAGCAGUGGGGAAUAUUGCACAAUGGGCGCAAGCCUGAUGCAGCCAUGCCGCGUGUAUGAAGAAGGCCUUCGGGUUGUAAAGUACUUUCAGCGGGGAGGCGUUACUCGCAGAAGAAGCACCGGCUAACUCCGUGCCAGCAGCCGCGGUAAUUC
rnacentral:rRNA from 1 species